CCCACGUUCGGACUGUAGUCUGCAACCCGACUACACGAAGCCGGAAUCGCUAGUAAUCGCGAAUCAGAAUGUCGCGGUGAAUACGUUCCCGGGUCUUGUACACACCGCCCGUCACACCAUGGGAGUCGGAAAUGCCCGAAGUCAGUGACCUAACCGAAAGGGAGGAGCUGCCGAAGGUGGAGCCGGUAACUGGGGUGAAGUCGUAACAAGGUAAC
rnacentral:rRNA from 1 species